rnacentral:rRNA from 1 species
CUAAGGAAGUAGGCAUGCAUCUUAGGCAAAUCCGGGGUGCUCUAUGCUGAGAUCUGAUAGCAAGCUGUACUUGUACAGUGAAGUGGCUGAUACCCUGCUUCCAGGAAAAGUCUCUAAGCUUCAGUUACACUGGAAUCGUACCCGAAACCGACACAGGUGGUCAGGUCGAGUAGACCAAAGCGCUUGAGAGAACUCUGCUGAAGGAACUAGGCAAAAUCGUACCGUAACUUCGGGAGAAGGUACGCUGUUGAUGGUGAUAGGACUCGCUCCUUGAGCUGUCGACAGCCUCAGAAACCAGGCCGCUGCAACUGUUUAUUAAAGACAUAGCACUCUGCAAACACGAAAGUGGACGUAUAGGGUGUGAUGCCUGCCCGGUGCUGGAAGGUUAAUUGAUGGGGUUAGCGUAAGCGAAGCUCUUGAUCGAAGCCCCAGUAAACGGCGGCCGUAACAAUAACGGUCCUAAGGUUGCGAAAUUCCUUGUCGGGUAAGUUCCGACCUGCACGAAUGGCAUAAUGAUGGCGGCGCUGUCUCCAGCAGAGGCUCAGUGAAAUCGAAUUCGCCGUGAAGAUGCGGUGUACCCGCGGCUAGACGGAAAGACCCCGUGAACCUUUACUGCAGCUUGACAUUGAACUUUGACCUUAUUUGUGUAGGAUAGGUGGGAGGCUUUGAAACUUGGACGCUAGUCCGAGUGGAGCCGUCCUUGAAAUACCACCCUGGUAAUGUUGAGGUUCUAACUCUGUCCCGUUAUCCGGGACGAGGACCAUGUCUGGUGGGUAGUUUGACUGGGGCGGUCUCCUCCUAAAGAGUAACGGAGGAGUACGAAGGUGCGCUCAGCGUGGUCGGAAAUCACGCGUAGAGUAUAAAGGCAAAAGCGCGCUUAACUGCGAGACCCACAAGUCGAGCAGGUACGAAAGUAGGUCUUAGUGAUCCGGUGGUUCUGUAUGGAAGGGCCAUCGCUCAACGGAUAAAAGGUACUCUGGGGAUAACAGGCUGAUACCGCCCAAGAGUUCAUAUCGACGGCGGUGUUUGGCACCUCGAUGUCGGCUCAUCUCAUCCUGGGGCUGAAGCAGGUCCCAAGGGUAUGGCUGUUCGCCAUUUAAAGAGGUACGCGAGCUGGGUUUAGAACGUCGUGAGACAGUUCGGUCCCUAUCUACCGUGGGCGCUGGAAAUUUGAGAGGAUCUGCUCCUAGUACGAGAGGACCAGAGUGGACGAACCUCUGGUGUACCGGUUGUGACGCCAGUCGCAUCGCCGGGUAGCUAUGUUCGGAAGGGAUAACCGCUGAAAGCAUCUAAGCGGGAAGCCUACCUCAAGAUAAGAUUUCCCCGAGGCUUUAUGCCUCCUAAAGAGCCGUUGAAGACUACGACGUUGAUAGGUUGGAUGUGGAAGCAUAGCGAUAUGUGAAGCUGACCAAUACUAAUUGC